rnacentral:misc_RNA from 1 species
CCGAAACGUAGCUGUCCGGUCACCUGGCCGUGACGGUUCAACCCUUUGUGAACCAAAAAACAUUUCGCUUCGGCAGCUGCUCGGUCAGAGAUGAUCGCGGCGUGAGCCUGCCGUUAGCACCGAACCUCGAAAACUUGCUGUUCAAACUUAGUCUGACUACCAAAUUUUCGAAUGAAAAUCA